CAAGGUGAAGCCAUACAGCCUGGCACUUCGCUUACACCGAAACUUCUUCCCGUGCAAAUCGGGUCACCCUG
rnacentral:tRNA from 1 species